rnacentral:misc_RNA from 1 species
AAGUCGUAACAAGGUAACCGUAGGUGAACCUGCGGUUGGAUCAUUACAAAUUACUGUCUGGCUUGUCCCUUUUGGUUGACUUGCCAGGCUACGUACCCCUUGUGCAUCGUCAUUGUUUUUUGGACUGUUUUGUUUUGUUUUGUGGUUCUACCCGAACAUCACCGGCAGUCCAGCAGUACAAACCACUUUAAUUUGUCUGAAACUAAGAGAAAAAUCGUAACAACUUUUGACAACGGAUCUCUUGGCUCUC